rnacentral:lncRNA from 1 species
UUUUUGUGAUUUUUCAGGAUUCAUUUGGACAUUUUUAUGCAUUAACUGAGUUUUCACUGCAUUUUAUGUGCAUAAUUAAAAUUUGAACUACAUGCACAUGCUCCAGUGCAUAUAAAUUGGUUGAAAAAACCAAAUUUAUGUCCUUGGGUGCAUGCUUAAGUCCCAUGAAAUAAAUGGGAAUGAAUUUCAAACACCGGGGUACCGUUGAUUGCAAGCAAAACAUUGAGAUGCCUGAUUUUUCAAUUCUAGUAAAUCCAAAACUUAUCUGAAAUUCAUGAAACUUGGCAUUCUAUCAUGCAGUGGCAUCAACAUGUCGUGGUAAAAAUUUUCUCCCAUUUGGGGCAGGUUUGGGUAUAUGCUUCUCACAAACCGGAGCUUCUCACAACAAGCAUGAUGGUUUUCGGUAGGGAACGUCCCACCUUUGGGGACGAAACAAUAUCCAUUCCCUCUUAUUGCUUUCAAAUUUUUUCCUCGUGUCAACAUAGAACAACAGGAGUGUUGUGUGAUUUUUUGUGAUUUUUCGAGGUUCGUUUGGACAUUUUUAGGCAUUGACUGAGUUUUCAAUAAAUUUUAUGUGCAUAUUUCAAAUGUGAACUACAUGCACAUGCUCCAGUGCAUAUAAAUUGGUUGAAAAAACAAAUCUGUGUCCUUGGGUGCAUGCUUAGGUCCCAUGCAAUAAAUGGGAAUGAAUUUCAAACACCGGGGCACCGUUGAUUGCCGGCAAAACAUUGAGAUGCCUUGUUUUUAAAUUCUAGUAAAUCCAAAACUCGUCUAAAAUUCAUGAAACUAUGCACGCUAUCAUGGAGUGGCAUCAACAUUUUGUGGUACAAAUUUUGUCCCAUUUGGGGCAGGUUUGGGUAUAUGCUUCUCACAAACCGGAGCUUCUCACAACAAGCAUGAUGGUUUUCGGUAGGGAACGUCCCACCUUUGGGGAUGAAACGAUAUCCAUUGCAUGUUGUUGCUUUUAAAAAAAAUCUCGUGUCAACAUAGAACAACAGGAGUGUUGUGUGAUUUUUUGUGAUUUUUGGGGUUCGUUUGGACAUUUUUAUGCAUUAACUGAGUUUUCAACGCAUUUUAUGUGCAUAAUUCAAAUUUGAACUACAUGCACAUGCUCCAGUGCAUAUAAGUUGGUUGAAAAAUCGAAUAUGUGUCCUUGGGUGCAUGCUUAGGUCCCAUGCAAUAAAUGGGAAUGAAUUUCAAACACCGGGGCACCGUUGAUUGCCGGCAAAACAUUGAGAUGCCUUGUUUUUAAAUUCUAGUAAAUCCAAAACUCGUCUAAAAUUCAUGAAACUUUGCAUGCUAUCAUGGAGCGGCAUCAACAUGUCGUGGUAUAAAUUUAUUCCCAUUUGGGGCAGGUUUGGGUAUAUGCUUCUCACAAACUGGAGCUUCUGACAACGAGCAUGAUGGUUUUCGGUAGAGAACGUCCCACCUUUGGGGACGAAACGAUAUCCAUUGCCUCUUAUUGCUUUCAAAUUUUUUCUCUCGUGUCAACAUAGAACAACAGGAGUGUUGUGUGAUUUUUUCUGCUUUUUCGGGGUUCGUUUGGACAUUUUUAUGCAUUAACUGAGUUUUCAAUGCAUUUUAUGUGCAUAAUUAAAAUUUCAACCACAUGCACAUGCUCGAGUGCAUAUAAAUUGGUUGAAAAAUCAAAUAUGUGUCCUUGGGUGCAUGCUUAGGUCCCAUGCAAGAAAUGGGAAUGAAUUUCAAACACCGGGGCACCGUUCAUUGCCGGCAAAACAUUGAGAUGCCUGGUUUUUAAAUUCUAGUAAAUCCAAAACUCGUCUGAAAUUCAUGAAACUUGGCAUGCUAUCAUGGAGCGCCAUCAACAUGCCGUGGUACUAAUUUUGUCCCAUUUGGGGAAAGUUUAGGUAUAUGCUUCUCACAAACCGGAGCUUCUCACAACAAGCAUGAUGGUUUUCGGUAGGGAACGUCCCACCUUUGGGGACGAAACGAUAUCCAUUGCCUCUUAUAGCUUUCAAUUUUUUUUUCUCGUGUCAACAUAGAACAACUGGAGUGUUGUGUGAUUUUUUGUGAUUUUUCGGGGUUCGUUUGGACAUUUUUAUCCAUUAACUGAGUAUUCAAUGCAUUUUAUGUGCAUAAUUCAAAUUUGAACUACAUGCACAUGCUCGAGUGCAUAUAAAUUGGUUGAAAAAUCAAAUAUGUGUCCUUGGGUGCAUGCUCAGGUCCCAUGCAAUAAAUGGGAAUGAAUUUCAAACACCGGGGCACCGUCGAUUGCCGGCAAAACAUUGAGAUGCCUUGCUUUUAAAUUCUAGUAAAUCCAAAACUCGUCUAAAAUUCAUGAAACUUUGCAUGCUAUCAUGGAGCGGCAUCAACAUGCCGUGGUAUAAAUUUAUUCCCAUUUGGGGCAGGUUUGGGUAUAUGCUUCUCACAAACUGGAGCUUCUGACAACGAGCAUGAUGGUUUUCGGUAGCGAACGUCCCACCUUUGGGGAAAAACGAUAUCCAUUGCCUCUCAUUGCUUCUCGUGUCAACAUAGAACAACAGGAGUGUCGUGUGAUUUUUUGUGAUUUUUCAGGAUUCCUUUGGACAUUUUUAUGCAUUAACUGAGUUUUCACUGCAUUUUAUGUGCAUAAUUAAAAUUUGAACUACAUGCACAUGCUCCAGUGCAUAUAAAUUGGUUGAAAAAUCGAAUCUAUGUCCUUGGGUGCAUGCUUAGGUCCAAUGAAAUAAAUGGGAAUGAAUUUCAAACACCGGGGUACCGUUGAUUGCAAGCAAAACAUUGAGAUGCCUGAUUUUUCAAUUCUAGUAAAUCCAAAACUUAUCUGAAAUUCAUGAAACUUGGCAUUCUAUCAUGGAGUGGCAUCAACAUGUCGUGGUACAAAUUUUCUCCCAUUUGGGGCAGGUUUGGGUAUAUGCUUCUCACAAAC